GUAGACCGUACUCUAGAGACGGACGACACAGACGGCGACGGCUAUGUUUCGUACGCGGAGUACCGCGCCGCUCGGCUUAACAACCCUACAGAGAGGACGCCCAGAGUUGUGGCCGCUGGCUCUAUAUAGCACAGGGCCACGAUUCUAUGGAAUCUCAUAAGCAACUAGCUACAUUGGUAUCGCUGUUCGCACGGCUUGCCCUGCUCGCCCCACGCCGUGGCCUGCUGGAUGCCGUGUGAUACGUUCUCGUAUGGUUCCAAAUCAAUACUGUUCCUGAAAGACAUUGUUUAUUGUUGAUUUAUGACGUUAAAAAGAUUGAAAGACAAUAAAUGGUGUGUGGUGUAGUAAA